UCCUUCCUUUGCCUUCUCUCUCUCUUCCUUGCUCUUAAUUUCAAUCCUUGCUCUCUUCUAAUUACCACUUUCUUUCCUGCUCUUCUAAUUACCGGACCAAUUUCUCCCCUUCGCUUGCUUACACCUUGCAGCACAACUCAGGAAUCAAGUUAAUUCUUGAAAAAUUGAAACUUGCGGAAGAAAGGCAAAUGGAAGGAAGGGACUCACUUUGGUAUCUCUGAACAGAGUUAAGGCUUCUGGGAUCCCUUCUGAUGAGAAAGUGAAGUUUGCAUAUGCAAUCAACAUAAGAAAGCUAGUCAAGCCACCACUACCAGCAGGAUACUGGGGAAUUCUGACCAAGGCUGAAGACCAUGUCGAUCAACCGAUAUAUAAAACAGCAGAAUUGAUCAACAAGAGCAAAUACAAUGUAUCUGAUGAAUAUGUUCGAUCAUUUAUCGAUUUUCAGGAGCUAAAUUAUCAUGAAGGGACCACAGUAGGAGCAAAGGUGAGUGGAAUUACUGAUUGGAGACACUUAGACCAUCCACAGUGGACUUUGGUUGGGGAGGUCCUGUUACAGUUUUUCCUCUGUCAAGAAACCUACUUGGAAGCGUUGAGCCCCGUUUCUUUUUGCCCUAUUCUUCAGCAAAUGAAGGGGAAAAGGAUGGUUGUAAACUUUCUGUGUGUUUGCAAGAACAUGCUGUUUCAGGUUUCAAAGAAGACAUGAAUAAGUUGAAGAAUUUAGAGCCUGGAUUCCUUUGAAUGAAGGGUUUCUUGUUA